rnacentral:rRNA from 1 species
GAUGAACGCUGGCGGCGUGCCUAAUACAUGCAAGUCGAGCGAACAGACGAGGAGCUUGCUCCUCUGACGUUAGCGGCGGACGGGUGAGUAACACGUGGAUAACCUACCUAUAAGACUGGGAUAACUUCGGGAAACCGGAGCUAAUACCGGAUAAUAUAUUGAACCGCAUGGUUCAAUAGUGAAAGACGGUUUUGCUGUCACUUAUAGAUGGAUCCGCGCCGCAUUAGCUAGUUGGUAAGGUAACGGCUUACCAAGGCUACGAUGCGUAGCCGACCUGAGAGGGGGAUCGGCCACACUGGAACUGAGACACGGUCCAGACUCCUACGGGAGGCAGCAGUAGGGAAUCUUCCGCAAUGGGCGAAAGCCUGACGGAGCAACGCCGCGUGAGUGAUGAAGGUCUUCGGAUCGUAAAACUCUGUUAUUAGGGAAGAACAAAUGUGUAAGUAACUAUGCACGUCUUGACGGUACCUAAUCAGAAAGCCACGGCUAACUACGUG